rnacentral:rRNA from 1 species
UACGUAGGGGGCAAGCGUUGUCCGGAUUUAUUGGGCGUAAAGAGCUCGUAGGCGGUUUGGUAAGUCAGGUGUGAAAUCUCCACGCUCAACGUGGAGGGGCCACCUGAUACUGCCAUGACUGGAGUCCGGUAGAGGAGUGUGGAAUUCUCGGUGUAGCGGUGAAAUGCGUAGAUAUCGAGAGGAACACCUGCGGCGAAGGCGGGUUGCUGGGCUGACACUGACGCUGACAGCGCGAAAACUAGGGGAGCGAACGGG